rnacentral:misc_RNA from 1 species
GUAUGAUGCGUAUGGCAUUCAUUACCAAUGGAUGAACAUAUAUAAACCCACCUGCGUACCGCUCCUGUUGCUUCCGUGGGGCUGUGACCAACGUCGCUGCCGACGCGGAUGGCUCGCUCUGGCCAUCCGAAGGCAAGUCCCCACGGGAGGUAUAACAUAAACUUACUUGCACCUCCAUGCUCUUAGUCUGUACAUAAUCCAUAAACAUAUUA